UGUUUUUUUUUGGGUGGGGUGCAGUUGAGGGGGGCUCGUGGCCCAGUAGAGCUUUACCCCUGAGACUAACAAGGGGAACAGUGGAGAUAAACUGGAAGACCUGGAGCUCGGCAAAGAGAUUUGUACGGAGCAUGUGGAAAAACAGGGAAACACACCUCAGUAAUUACAAGUGUAUCAUAAUAAAUUAGAGUGGAGUGGAGAAUUUAGGGAAUCACAUCUCAGCAAUGAUAAGAAACUGCUGGUCAGGUAUCACCUAUCACCGAAAGAUGUUUAAGAGGAAGGGGGGCGGUGGUGGGCUUGAGCUGGGCUCAGACUAUAGGAGUUUUAAAAACCUAACCGAUAAUGAAAUCUGGUUGCUGUGAACACAUGAGGAGAAUCUUUGGCAAAUUUAUUAGCCCACCUCAAAUCUUAAAUGUGUGCAAAGUACAAAAUAUGAAAACUGCGCCACAGAACACAAGAUAUUAAGGUUAUCCUGACCGAUGGAGCACAUCACUUUCUUUGUCAAAAAUUACGCUUUUUUUUUUUUACUAAUAUUAGAUUAUUAAAUUAUGCGGUGGUUCGGUUCUGGGUUUUUCGGGGUCGACAGCUAUUCUCGACUCUUAAUUUUGGAGUCGGUGGAAUCGGCUCAAAAAUCAACACCUUUUACAUUCACUUAAAAUAGCGCAAGGAUUAAACAUGCUGUAUCAUAUCGUUCUUUAUACAAGCAGUUCUCCUGUGGUCAGACAAAAUCAGCAUUUUAAAUCAUCUGCAGUCAAAAUAAAAUAAUAAUCCGCCUAUACUU